GCCUGGCUGGCUCAGUCAGUAGAGCAUGUGACUUUUAAUGUCAGGGUCAUGAAUUCAAGCCCCAUGUUGGGCA
rnacentral:tRNA from 1 species